rnacentral:rRNA from 1 species
UACGUAGGGGGCAAGCGUUGUUCGGAAUUACUGGGCGUAAAGGGCGCGUAGGCGGCACGGCAAGUCAGGAGUGAAAGCCCUGGGCUCAACCCGGGAACUGCUUUUGAAACUGCCGAGCUAGAGUGCGGAAGGGGCAACUGGAAUUCCCAGUGUAGCGGUGAAAUGCGUAGAUAUCUGGAGGAACACCGGUGGCGAAGGCGGCAUCCUGGACCGGUAUUGACACUGAGGCGCGAAAGCCAGGGGAGCAAACGGG